rnacentral:rRNA from 1 species
UGGGGAAUUUUGCACAAUGGAGGAAACUCUGAUGCAGCGACGCCGCGUGAGUGAUGAAGAUCUUCGGAUUGUAAAACUCUGUCCUUAGUGAAGAUAAUGACAGUAACUAAGAAGCAAGCCCUGGCUAAAUACGUGCCAGCAGCCGCGGUAAUACGUAUGGGGCAAGCAUUGUCCGGAAUUAUUGGGCGUAAAGGGUACGUAGGCGGUUUAAUAAGUCCUAAUUAAAAGGCUAUGGCUCAACCAUAGUAUGGUUAGGAAACUGUUGAACUUGAGUAGAUGAGGGGAAAGUGGAAUUCCAUGUGUAGCGGUGAAAUGCGUAGAUAUAUGGAGGAACACCAAUGGCGAAGGCAACUUUCUGGAAUCAAACUGACGCUGAGGUACGAAGGCGUGGGGAGCAAACAGG